UACGUAGGGUGCAAGCGUUAAUCGGAAUUACUGGGCGUAAAGCGUGCGCAGGCGGCUUUGCAAGACAGAUGUGAAAUCCCCCGGGCUCAACCUGGGAACUGCAUUUGUGACUGCAUGGCUGGAGUGCGGCAGAGGGGGAUGGAAUUCCGCGUGUAGCAGUGAAAUGCGUAGAUAUGCGGAGGAACACCGAUGGCGAAGGCAAUCCCCUGGGCCUGCACUGACGCUCAUGCACGAAAGCGUGGGGAGCAAACAGG
rnacentral:rRNA from 1 species